rnacentral:misc_RNA from 1 species
CCGAGUUUACAACUCCCAAACCCCUGUGAACAUACCUACUGUUGCCUCGGCGGAUCAGCCCGCGCCCCGGUAAAACGGGACGGCCCGCCAGAGGACCCCUAAACUCUGUUUCUUAGUGGAACUUCUGAGUAAAACCAUAAAUAAAUCA